rnacentral:misc_RNA from 1 species
GAUGAAGAACGUAGCGAAAUGCGAUACUUGGUGUGAAUUGCAGAAUCCCGUGAACCAUCGAGUCUUUGAACGCAAGUUGCGCCCUUUGGUAUUCCAAAGGGCAUGCCUGUUCGAGCGUCAUUUGUACCCUCAAGCUUUGCUUGGUGUUGGGCGUCUUGUCUCUAGCUUUGCUGGAGACUCGCCUUAAAGUAAUUGGCAGCCGGCCUACUGGUUUCGGAGCGCAGCACAAGUCGCACUCUCUAUCAGCAAAGGUCUAGCAUCCAUUAAGCCUUUUUUUCAACUUUUGACCUCGGAUCAGGUAGGGAUACCCGCUGAACUUAAGCAUAUCAAUAAGCGGAGGA